UCCUCCCUCAUCUUCCCCUGUGCUAUCUCCGGAGAUUUCUCCCUCUUCAAUAUCUGGAGAUGCUCCUGCACCCUCCCCUAACGGUGCCGUUUUGAAUAAGUUCACCUUCUCUGGAUUUCUGGCCGUUGGGGUUUGGGCUGCUUCUGUCUUGGUUAUGUAGAGGACAGUCAGACUAUGAUUAACAAUACAAUGGUUAUGUAGAGGAUAUGUAACAUGUACUCACAAAGAGCACUACUUGACUCCUUAACGGAUCAUUCCUUCCUCCCUGCAAAUUUAACUCCAACAUAUAUUAUAACAUUUCAAAUUUGUUUGGAAUUGCAGCCCAUUGAUUCUAGAAAACACUAUUUGUCCCUGUAUAAAGAUUCAUUUUCCUUGUAUGAUUCCAAUUUCAAUUGGUAUGUUUUUUAUUACAUUACUAAUUCAUUUUCAAUAAUCAUAUGACCAGAAACGUACGAUAAUGAGGGAGGCUUUGAACAAUAAAGUGGAAAACAAAUACAAGACAGUACUUUAAUGUGCUACCACAAUGUUCAACCAAGUGACAAACAAUCUAAUAAUGAAUAUGUAUCAUACUUAGGGCUGCAAGUUAGAAUGGUAUUUUCGAUUCCAACAUAAAAAUUUCUGAAUCUGAAUAUUUCUAAAAAUUUGAAAUGGAAAUUGGAAUACAUUCAAAGAUUUUGAGAAUUCCGAAUUUUCACUUUGAAAUUUUCUGAACUGUUUGAACUUAAUUAUUACGAUAAAAAAUCCGAAUUUUUAAUGUUAUUUACUAAAAUUAUGUAUUUUGUAAAUAUAUUUGUAUUUUAUUGUUAGUUUUAGACACAUUUUAUUCAGGAUAAGCAUACUAGUUGUUCGUCGCAGGAAUCUCCUGGCGGACGAGCACACAGCUCCCCUGGGAGAAUGGCGUCGGUUGAGGGUAUCUGUCGUACUUCUGCUUUCUUCUCGGGCUCGCUCGGGCAAGCCUUUGUCGGGCAGAUCUUGGUCGGGCAAGACACACUUCGGGCAAGGCUCGUCGGACAGUUCUGAAAGAGAAGGACAGAGUUAAUUUGAAAGGGUGCCUUGUGGGGCCUUAGAUGUAGGCCUUAAGGCUCACAAUCAAGAUUAACUUUGUCGUGCUCAGGCGUCCCACUGCCAUCUUCAGUAUGGCAGAUGUUGAAUGGGUGUUAAGCUUUGAUUGAAUAUGUAUACGCCCGAGAAACCAGGUUAGAUAUAACAGUUGCCUUUGUGAGGCCUUAGGUAUAGGCCUUGAGGCUUCCUGUCAAACUAAACCAGCGCUUGGAUGUAUCAUAUUUGGUCUUUUAUGGUUGCCAGAGUCUUAUCACUAUUAUACUUUUGAUUAUCUGAAUCCAAGAGGUAGGACGAACCCAAAUGAGUGCCUUUGUAGGGCCUUAGGUAUAGGCCUUGAGGCUUCCCAUCAGAGUUAAUCCUUAUACUCGGACCAACUAGACCACAACAUGAAAUGAAGCUAAAUAGAUGCCUUCGUGGGGCCUUAGGUGUAGGCCUUGAGGCUUUCUAUCAGAAUUCACUCCCUGCCUAAGCCUUUUCUACGAAUCAAGAUAUAAUAGCAACAAAACGGAGAAAUAGAUUAAUUACUUGCGCCCCAAGUAACUUCGGACUUCUCGCUUAUCAAGGAUUGUCGUAGAUGGGUUGAGUCCACAUAGAGUUCUUUUUUAUGCCUUGAGGUCAAGGACUUUUAAACUGAUCUUUAAAUUACACGCCCGCCGGGCUUAAGACUUAGAUCUGAUUUGAACUCUGACACGAUUCAGAUCGGAUCCAAGUGCUGAAGACUCAUUUUCAUUAUGACUUUGCUAGAAAUAACUUGUAUAUAACUGGGAAUAUAUAACAUGUUAUUGUGUUUUUAAAAGAAAGAAAAGACAAAGACAGAGCAAAGAUAGUCGGGUAAGUUUGAACCUUAUCGGCCAAGGCUGAACUUCUUACAAAAUCUAUCUUUGUGGCUCUGUCAGAGGUCUGAAAGCUUUUAGAGGGGUUGACGGGGGAGAAGAGGAUACAAAAUGAAUCGAUACCACCAUGAACAAGGUAGCAGAGCUAUUACAGGGGUUUGGGAAGGUUUAUCCCGAAUGGGAUGAAGGCUUGUGCUGACUACAGCUUCGUUGAAGGCAAAUCUGGCUUGAGCAGAGUUUUGGCUUUUGUUUGUUUGUUUGAGUGUCCUUAAUUCUGUCUUCUCUUCCUCCUUUUAUAGACGACUUCAGCUUGGGUUCCUGUAGCAAUAGCGGUUGCCCGAAUGCGGUUUGGUGAUGACUCACUAGCUUUUUUACAUGAAUGCCACCAAUAAAGUACUUUAUUGGGCUGUGCAGUGACUGAAUGACCCACCCCCUGUGGUCUUUGAGCAGGUAAGCAGGUGGCCUUUGUAACUUGUGCCCAGCCGAAAGCCUCUUUCCUGCCUCCUAAGUUUUCCUCUGGGCCUUGGGUUUGGGCCGGCUUUCUCUCUGGCCCAAAGUUCAGAUUUUAUCCCAAACACUAGUAUAUCACAAAAUUAAAUGUAUCUGUACACAAGCAUAUAUCAAAUACAUUAAGAAAAAACAAUAAAGUGCAUGUACGAAAAUUCAAGAAUAUUAAAACAUGUAAAAUAUAUGAAUUUUCGACCUAUGUUCUGAUCUGAUCCGAUUUUGAAAUUUGGAAAGAAAAGUAGAAACGUUGUUUCCUAUCCGACCAGUUCUAAAAUCACCCCUAAUCAUAUUUUUACUUGCUAACCAAUCAAAUGGGGAGAAAAUAGGAAAAAAUAAUGGCAAACUUUGUUCUUAUUUCAUUGACAAUAAGACUUGUAACUCAUUGAGACAGACAUGCAGAUUCCGAAGCUAGACAGGUUCAUAUGCCGAAGCUAGACAAACAAAUUCAGAUCAUAUACCGAAUCUAGACAAACAAAUUCAGACGCCAAAGGCAGACAUAGAGAUUCAAAAGUUGAAGACAUACAUACGGCAGACAUAGAGAUUCAAAAGUUGAAGGCAUACAUACAAAAUUAGAUUUCGAAGUCAGAUGCAGACUUCAUAUACAAAGCCAAAUGAAGAUAUCAAAUGAGGAAGCCAAUACUGUUGCACCAUCGUCACUAUGUGAACAUGAUCCCCAUGUUCAUGUACUAAUUGUUUUUGGUAUAGUAAAUACUUCAGUUGGCAGGGUAUAAUAAUGGUAUUGCCAUUUUGAUAUUGGGCUAUUUUAUUUGGUCUCAGAUAUUUUUAUGAUGAGGUUUGGUAAGUCUCAUAUUGCUGAUUAAUUUUAUAAUAAAAGUUCAAUUUUUUUCACUUCUAAUAUCAUCCUUGAAAUUAUUGUCAGCACUAAUUUUUCUUUUGUUGUAUACAUGAUAUUUGAGACUAUAAUUUUGUCUCUGAAACUAUUUAUGAUCUAAUUACAUUGUCAUAAUUUUGACGAGUGUGGACAAGACAUUUAAAAAUACGAAAACGUCUUAUCUAAAAGAUGAUGCACAUCAGCAAUUGUAGAAAAGACAGCAAAGGUCAGAGAAGGUAAUUUGGCUCAAUCACUCCAUACCUUGGAGGGUGCAUUAUCAUUGGUUUAAAUAGUGUACAAUGACUUGAUUUACAAGUAUAAUUAAUAUACAUAUAAUACAUAAAGGGAAUGUUUUAAUAAUACAGGAAAUCGAGAAAUAAUGAUGAAAUAGGAAACAAUCUCAAGAGAUCAAGAAGAUAUCAUCUUUCACGCCCUCGCAAGCUGAGAGUACGAUUGAGUACCAGAAGCUUGGAAACCAAAAAUCUAAAACGAGGAAGAGAAAGACCCUUGGUGAAGAUAUCAACGAUUUGGUUAUGAGUGGAAAGAUAGCUAACAUUAAGCUUCUUGCGAACAACCUUCUCACGAAUAUAAUGGUAAUCCACCUCAACGUGCCGAGUAUGAGCAUGAAGCACCGAGUUGGAAGCAAGGGAGAUGGCACUGAUAUUGUCACAAAACAGAGUGGGGCAAUGGAAAGGUAACUGAAGGUCACGAACCAACAUACGAAACCAGGAAAUGGUGGCAGCGGCAAAGGGCAAGUUGACGAUACUCAGCCUCAAUGUUAGAACGAGAGACCCCAUUUUGCUUCUUUGCACUCCAUGAGACAAGAUUGGAACUCAGAAACAAACAAUAGCCUCCGGUUAAACGCCGAUCAUCGAGAUCCCUAGCAUAAUCGGCAUCGAAAAAGGCCGUAAGACGAAGUGAACUGGGCUUGUAGAUAAUACAGUGAUUAGCAGUGCCAACAAGGUAACGAAGAAUUCAUUUGACGGCAGCGCAAUGAGUGGAAAUCAGCUGGUGAAGAAAUUGGCAUACUUGAUUGACCGCAAAGUUGAUGUCGGGACGAGUGAGAGUCAAGUAUUGGAGGGCACCGACAACACUAUGGUAUUCAGUAGGAUCCGGCAGAGGGUCACCAUCAUGAAUGUUGAGUCGUCGCCCACUGACAGCAGGGGUAAGGAUCGACUGGGCACCAAGCAUUUUGGUGCGAUGAAGGAGGUCAAUGAUAUAUUUGUGUUGGGAAAGAGAGACCAGAUGGAGUAUGGACCACCUCCAUGCCUAAAAAAUAAUGGAUCGGCCCAAGGUCCUUUAUAGAAAACCAUAGACCCAAAUUCUUAAUGAGUGACAAUGUGAGAGGGAUUAUUCCCCGUGACCAAAAUAUCAUCAACAUAAAUUAAUAAAUAAAAUGUGAGUAGCGCCAUGAAUAUAAGUAAAAAGCAAGUGAUCCAUUGUAGAUGAAUGAAAACUCAAAUCUUCCAAAUGAGUGGAAAAACACUGGAACCAGGCACGGGGCGCCUACUUGAGGCCAUAUAAAGAAUGACGGAGGCGGCACACAUGAUUAGGAAACUUUGGAUCGAUAAAGCCAUGAGGUUGGUGCAUAUAGACCUCCUCAGAUAAAGAACCGUGGAGAAUAGCAUUUUAAACAUCCAACUGGCAAAUAGGCCAUUUAAAUUGAACUGAAAGAGCCAAAAUUAACUGAAUAAUAGAGUGAUUUACAACAGGACUAAAAGUUUCACCAUAAUCAUGGCCGGGUUGCUGAUGAAAGCCAUUGACGACCAAACGAGCCUUAUACCACUGAACAGAGCCAUUGAAAUUUUGUUUAAUACGAAACACCCAUUUGUUUGCCAAAUAUUCAUAGAAGCAAUACGAGGAAUAAGAGUCCAAGUACCUGCAUGCUAAAGUGCAUUAAAUUCAUUGGCCAUCAUAGUAUGUCAUUCCGUGAAUUUAUUGGCCUAACUAAAACAUGUAGGCUUAAUGGGUCCAUUAGAAGAUUUAAUUGCAGUAGAAAAAACAUAUUUGUGAGGCUUAUAGGAAGCCAUUUUGGACCUGGUCAGCAUACCAUGAGAAUUAGAAGGAGCUGCAGAUAUGGCAGCAGCAAAUAGGGCCUCUGGAAGCGCAGCAGAUGGGGCUGCAAGGCUAACUGCAGGCAUGGGCGUAUGAGCUACAAGUUGGGUUGCAACUUGUGCAAAAGAGAAAACCCGUCAGUAAGGAUCACGCCAAUAGACCUGCAGGGCCUGCUGUGGUGAGCUGGGUUGAUGAGUCUCCAAAGCAGGAGACACAACCACCGGUUGGCUGCUGGAUUGUCAGGGCACUCGGGAAAGGCCCAAUGAUUUAUAAAGCAGGAAGAGGAGAUGGGGCCUGUGAGGAUUGGGCAAGAGAGCCAGAGAUCUCCUUGAAAGAAAAAAAAACCUUCAUCAAACACAACAUGGUAUGAUAAAAAGAUGUUAUUGGUAGAGAUGUCUAAGCACUGACAACCUUGAUGAUUGAGAUAGUAACCAAGAAAAAUACACUUAGUAGAAUGAAAUUUAAGUUUAUUAUUAUUAUAGGGCCUAAGGUAGGGAAAACGGGCACACCCAAAGGUCUUCAAAAAACUAUAAUUAGGUUGCUUAUGAAACAAUAAAACCAAGUACCUAAUAGGGGAGCCGAUUGAUAAGAUAAACCAUGAUGUGCAUGUCCUCAGCCUAAUAGGCAAGAGGCAUCGACACGUGGGCCAUUAAAGUAAGCCCAGUGUCAACAAUGUGAUGGUGUUUCCGUUCUGCCAAACCAUUUUGCUCGGGAUGGUGAGGGCAUGUUAAGUACAAUUAAUUACUAAGCUUAAUUAGAGAAAUGUAUAUAUAUUGAGUUGUAUUCCUUACACAUUAAGAAAGAAAUAAUACAGACUUCUUUAUUUACAUGGUAUCACCGCCUCUCUGCUUCACCGUCUCCCUAUCCUUCUUUCAUUGCGAUUCCUUCUUCAAUCUUUGCUUCUCCGAUCCUCACUUCUCGGAACUUUGAUCUUUGGCUAUGACGUCUUCAACUUCGUCUCCUGUGCAACCUGAAGUUGUUGCCCCUAAUCCUGCAAUUUCUUCUCCCAAUUUUGCAGCGAUGAACCCUAAUCCUUGAAAUUCUCUGAUCUCGUCGAUUUCUUCCAUAACUGUUCAGAAUAUCAGUUGUAUGAUUCCUACGAACCUCAAGCAUGACAAUUAUCUCAUUUGGAAAGCUAUCUUCGCUCCGAUUUUCCGACAAUACAAACUUACCAGCAUUGUUAAUGGCUCUUAAGUUUGCCUGCCACCUUAUGUUCUUGAUGAAUUUGGUCAAAUUACUAGAAUUUCAAACCCUGCUUUCGAGAUUUGGUAUGAAAAAGAUCAAAAUAUACUAAUAUGGUUAAAUUCAACUCUCUCUAAAGACUUUAUUUCCUUCACCGUUGGUGUCACAUCGUCUCGAGAUUUCUGGUUAAAUCUUGAGCAUCUAUUUAGUGGCAUUUCUUUAGCUCACGUUCAUCAGCUCCAUUCUUGUCUCCAUUAUGUGCAUAAAGGCGAUCUUUCUAUCUCAAAUUAUUUACAGAGAAUUGAAGGCAUUGCUGAUUCAUUAAUGGCUACUGAAGCUCCUAUCUCUAAUGAUUUGAUUACUGUUACUCUAAAUGGAUUACCUGAUGAGUAUAAGUCUUUCAUUAACUCUACCAUGCUCAGGAUCUCUACCACAACACUGGAUGAACUUCAUGGACUGUUGAUAAACAAGGAAGUUUUCAUGAAUCGUAAGAAGAAAUGUGUGGCCUCUUCCACUUCUGAGCUUUUUGAGGCCUUUGUUGUGCAGUCUCAACCCCCUCUCCUUCCUACUACAAUUUUCCUCAAGCUUAUGCUACUCACCAGUCACCCUACAAUGCUCCACCAAAGUUUCACAACAAUAAUCGUGGUCGAGGAUCCUUUCAACGCAAUAAUUGUGGUAAUUUUCAUAAGAACUUCAAUAAUUCUUGUGGUAAUUUUCACAAUUAUAGUGGAACUCAUGGCUUGCAAUAAUUUUGGGGGAAAUCAUAACAAUUCUGGUGGAAGAACUCCCUAGCAAAUUUGUAACUCUUUUGAUCAUGAAGCUAUUGAUUGUUAUGAGCGAAUGAAUCAUGCUUUUGCUAGAAAAAUUCCUCCUGCAAAGUUAGCUUCUGUGUGUGCUCACACCAGUUCUAAGCAAUCUUCUCCCACUUGUUUGAUGGACUCGGGUGACACAUCCCAUAUUACUAAUGACAUAUCUGCCAUUCAAUCUCCACAUUCAUACUCUGGCGAAGAAAGUGUGUAUGUUUGUGAUGGACAAGGUAUGGCUAUCCAUCACACUAGUAAUUCUACAAUUUUAACACCACAUGCUUCUUUCAUAUUAAGUAAUAUUAUUCAUGUUCCACAGAUGAAAUUCAAUUUACUCUCUGCCUAUCAAUUCUUGAAAGAUAACUAUUAUUCUUUGACCCUUGAUUCUGAUGGUUCUAAAAUCAAGGAUUGUUCUUCGGGGAUGACGUUUUUUUAAGGGCCAGUUAGAAAAGGAUUUUAUCCCUUUCAAGGUCUUUCCAAUGUCUUUUCUUCACAUUCUACUCUUAUCAGCACUAAAGCAUCGUUGAAGACAUGGCAUAAAAGGCUCGGUUAUCCUUCAUCUGCUAUGUUUAAGACAAUAUUAAAUAAGCAUAGUCUUGAUCACAGUGGUGACAAGCUUGUAUCUUUCUUUUGCACAAAUUGUGCCAUAGGUAUAAAUCAUAAGUUGAUACAUUGUGAUGUUUAGGGUCCAUCUCCAGUCACUUUUAUUAGUGGUUACAAGUUCUACUUGCUAAUUGUGGAUGAGUUUACUAAAUACACCUAGUUGUUUCCUAUGGAAGCUAAGUCUGAGGUUUUCUCUAUGUUUGUAUCAUUCAAAGCUUAUGUAGAAAACAUGAUUGGAAAUAAAAUAAAAGUCUUGAGAUCAGAUUCAAAGGGUGAGUUCACUAGUUCUGUGUUAAAUUCUUUUCUCUCAAGUAAUGGAAUCUCUCAUCAAUAUAAUUGUCAUCACACUCCAAAAAAAAAUAUAUGUGUUGAAAGGAAGCACAGACAUCUUAUAGAGAUUGCAAGGACUUUUUUGGUUUCUUCUCGGGAUCCUCACAAGUUCUGGGUUGAAGCCUUUUCAACUGCUCUUUAUCUCAUCAACAGAUUGCCAAUUUCUAAACUAGACAAAUCUCCUUGGGAACUUCUAUUUAGGAAACCUCCAGAUUAUUCCAAAUUAAAGGUGUUUGGAUGCAGCUGCUACCCUUAGCUUAAACCACAUAUUUCAUCAAAACUGGAUGGUAAAAGCAAGCAUUGUGUCUUUCUUGGUUAUAGCCUUCAACACAAAGGAUAUCGUUGUUUAGAUCUUCAAUCUCAAAGAUUGUAUAUUUCAAGGCAUGUUCUGUUCAAUGAAGUUCAUUUUCCUUUUCACUAUGAACACUAUGAACAGAAGCUUCACUUCUCAUCACUGCCAUAUUACACAGUGUCUGCAUCUACUCUAGCAUUUACUCUUCGAUUUCCAACCUCUCAUAGUACUCCAGUAGCAUCUCUAUCCCCUACAACAUCUCAGCAAUCAUCAUCUCAACAAGUACCAUCUCAGUCAUCAUUUUCACAACUCAGUCACUCAUUACCUUUACAGUUAAGACUCUCAUCUCAUAUUCAACCAUCUAUUCCUGCUAAUUCUCAUCUUAUGAUUAAAAGGUCCAAAGCAGGUAUCUUUAAACCAAAAGCUCUCUCUGCAACAAAACAUCCCAUUAAUAUUGAUACUUUCGUGCCUACCACUUAUCUGCAAGCAUCCAAGCAUGCUCAUUGGAAUCAAGCAAUGUUAGAAGAAUUUCAGGCUCUAAAAAACACAAGUACUUGGACCUUAGUACCAUCCUUUACACAUCAAAACAUUGUAGGUUGUAAAUGGGCGUUUCGGAUUAAACGAAAACCCGAUGGUACAGUUUACAGAUACAAGGAUCACCUUGUGGCAAAAAGGUUUCACCAGCAAGAUCAUUGAUUUUAAGAAAACCUUCAGUCCUAUUGCUAAACCAGUGACCAUUCACAUCUUAUUAACUCUUGCUGUCCAAAAUGAUUGGUUCUUAAAUCAAUUGGAUAUUAGCAAUGCGUUUCUUCAUAUAUCACUAAAAGAAAAGGUGUUUAUGCAACAACCUCCUGGUUUUGUUGACGUUUCUCAGCCUUUAUUUGUUUGCGAGCUUGAUCGGUCUCUUUAUAGCUUAAAGCAAGCCCAUCGAGCUUGGUAUGAUAAACUUGGUCAUAUUUUACUCUCUCUUGGUUUUGCUAAUUCGCAAUCAGAUUGCUCCUUAUUUGUGCAUACAUCUCCUUCCCUUGUGAUAGUAUUAGUGUAUGUUGAUACAUCCUAGUCACCGGUCCAAAUGCCUCUCAUUGUCAAGCUUUAUUCACAAUCUCAGUUAUUUGUUUCCUGUCAAAGAUCUAAAGCCUCUUCACUAUUUCCUUGGUUUUGAAGUACAUCGAUCCUCUAAAGGUAUCAAGCAAAUAUGCCAUGGAUCCUCUAGUUAAGACAAAAAUGGAAGGAUGUAAACCUUGUGCCACUCGUCUUGUCACUGCUAAAUUGGAUCACAUUGGAGCUUUGUUGUCUGAUCUAAAUGAGUACACGUCCAUCGUUGGUGUUCUUCAAUACUUAACAUGGACAAUGCCAGAUCUUUCCCUUACUGUGAACCAAGUUUGUCAAUUUCUUCACUGUCCUCGAGAUACAUAAUUUCAGGCAGUUAAACUUAUUCUCCGGUUUCUCAAAUGUUCAGUUGAUUAAUGACUCCGGUUUAAAAAUGGUUUUAUGCAACUUACAGCCUUUUUGGAUGCUGAUUGGGCUGGAUGUGUUAUUGAUAGAAGAUCUACCUCUGGUUAUUGUGUUUACUUGGGACCAAUCUUAUAAGUUGGAGUGCUAAAAAGCAGCCCAUUAUUCCAAGGUCUUCAACCGAAGCUAAGUAUCGAUCUCUUGCUUUCACUGUUGCAAAAAUCACAUGGAUCUGUAAGAUUUUCAAAGACAUCACUUUUCCUCUUCCUCAUACUCCUACAUUAUGGUGUGACAAUGUUUCUACCAUCAAUUUGGCUUCAAAUCAUGUGUUCCAUGCGAGUACCAAGCAUGUCGAGGUUGAUUAUCACUAUAUCUGGGAACUUGUUCUUGCAGAUUUAGUCAAAGUUUUGUAUGUUAACAUUGAAAACCAAAUUGCAGAUAUUCAUACAAAGUCGUUGUCCAAGGCAUGGUUCAAGUAUCUUCAAUCCAAGCUUUCUCUGGGUUCUCCUCCAUUUAGCUUAAGGGAGUGUAAAAGGAUAACUCAUAGCUAACAGCUUGUAUAGUUGUCUUUUACAAUUGUAACAGUUUUGUAACUAAUCUAUGUGUUUGAGAUUUAAUUAAGUACAAUUAGUUACUAAGCUUAAUUAGAGAAAUGUAUAUAUACUGAGUUGUACUCCUUACACAUUAAGAAGGAAAUAAUACAUACUUCUUUCUUUACAGUUCAAGUUAUUGGCAAUGUGCGUGGUGGCUCAUCCACGCUGGACUUAGUUGCUGAUGAUAUCAAAAUUAGGCUACAAGGCUUCAUUAUAUCUCAAAUAUGUCAUUGGUAGAUCCACCAAUAUGUGGCGCAUAGAUUGGCCAAAGUUGGCCUUAUGUUCAUAUGUUGACUCUUGUUAGUGUGAUGAGCCUUUUGAUGUAUUCCAGAAUGCACUCCUUGAAGGUUGUAUGUUUCCAUUUACAUGUCCAAACAACAUGCACAAAGAACACUAAAAUUGUUAUAAAAAUAAAAAUAAAAAUAAAAAUAAAAAAAGCAUACUAUUAAACCCAAAUAAAAAUUUCCAACUAGAACAAUUUUUAGUCUUAGGUCACUAACUAAUAACUAUAGUUGGUUUUCUUGGAGUCGUCCUAAUCCAUUAUAUCGUCUUCAAUAUCAAAAUAGUCUGCCAAAGUAGCAUAGUCAUACUUUCUCUUGUUCAGCUUCUGAGAAAGAAGUGAAUGGAUAUACAGACUUCUUAAACACUUUGGUAGUCAAACUAUCAUCCGGUUUUCCACUUCUGCCAGCUCUGCUCAGAAGCACUUCUGGUAGGUCCUGAGACUUUCAUCUUUAGACUGAGGGACCAUCUACGCAAACGUCAAAGUACACUGAGUAGGUGUUUUUGAAUAUCUCAGCCAAAGUUUCAAAAUAGUCGAUGGAUCUGGAUGGCACCUCCGAAUGCUAUCACAUCGCUGGUCCCCUUAAAGUAGAUGAUAACAUUUUGCACAUAUAAGUAUCGUUGUUGUUGCAUAGCGCCAUGGCAUUCCGGUAAUGCAUGAUGUGGUAGUCGAGGUUAGAAUCGACGCGAAAUGAUUUGAACCUUGAUUGAGAAAACUUUUCCGCUAUGGGUAUUUCUUUGAUUAUCAUUGAAAGUGGUGUUCUAACCCGGACUGUUGCCUUGCCUGGGGUUUGAGGUUGGCUAUCCAUGACUAGGCUCGCAUAAUUUUCUCUAUCCAGGAUGUGUCAUCGUUCUUAAUCUCCAGAAAAUUCAGGCUCGUCAAACCUCAGACGAAGAGGUUUUGCCCUUCGUGCUAUUGUUGUACCUUGAAGAGGAUUAUGUAGAUUUUUUUGUUAUUCUCCAGUAACCAUGUUUGUGACCUACUCAUUUCUUAUUGGGCCUCUUCUUGGAUUGAUGGCAAUCGCUGGCGCUGAAACAGCAUGAAACAUUAUGGGGUCCUCUUCAAGGGUAUGGUACUUAUGUUUCCAUAUUCGUAAACAGGGAUCUGGGUUGAAUGGGUCAUCCCACUUAAAUUCUUUAGGUUUUUCCUUCGCUUCUCCAUGUCUACGAAGUUGGAAUGGCUUUCUGCUUGAACAGCACAUACAAUCUGGCUCUUUUGCAACUUCUCGACAUAAACGUUGAUCUUCGUCAAGGUUUCUCAAAUUUGAUCCAUGGAAGGAGAUGGUCUGUUGACUGGGUCUUCAUCAUUUUCGAGCGUGGCCGUCACUCUUUAUGGGCUGUUACUUGCCUCUGGAGUUGGUUCUUAGGCAACGGGCGAUUCACUCCUGAAAUAACGGACCCAUCAAAAGGUAGGUUAUCUCCACCGAUGGGGUUAACGUUGGCAUUGACCAAGCUUUCCUCAGCAUACAUGUCAAUCAGCAGAGUGAUCUGGUUGGAGGAAUAAAAGUUCGCUCUCAAUGAAAGUACCAAUUGUUAUAACCAAACUUGCGUACCUCCAUGAACGAUGUUUGAGCACAAAUUCGAGCAACUUGCAAAACAGUAAACAAACUUUAGCAAGCCUAGGACUAGAGAGGUGUGUCGACCAAAGGCUUUCCGACUGCCAAGUUAGGGAGUGAUUAGACUCUAGUAGUGGUCAAGAGAAUUGAAGUGUUUUGAUUGCGUUACCCGAGAUGAACCCUAGAUGAGUGUAUUUAUAACGUGGAGAGAUAGACCUUUUUAGGAUGGAAUCCUAGCUCUAAGCCCAUAGAAUCCUAAAGGAUAUUGAAAGGUAGAUAUUGCUUCUUCUUAGGAGUUAUGAUUACUUGCAGCACACACCAUUUCCUAGAUUUUAGAAAUUCCAAGACUUAUAGGACCUAAUUGUGUCCGUAUCUGAAUCAAAUCGCGUCUUACGAAACAAGUAUGGUCAUCUGGCGAAGUAGCUAGGACUCUGCCUUAUGCCCUAGAGUGGAAUGAUGGUGGCACCGCUACACCAUCUGAUACAGCUCCGCCCAAAACUAGUGAGUCUAUGACCGAACUUUUGAGGUAACUGUAUUCAGAUCAGUCUUACUCCACUCCUGGAAAAUCAUGGUCCCACAAUAACUUCUCAUGUUUCUCCUUAGUCAAUGAGUUUUUAUCCCACAUUGGGUUUUACCAUAGCAAGAUUUUGUGAGUUUUACCUUUUUAUGCAUUCUUCUGUUGAUUUGAGACUCACAUUUGCUUAUUGUGCCGACGACUUCAUCAACCGAACUUACUUCAUCACCAAAGACCUAAUGCACCAUUUACUUGAGUAUUUACACUCUAAGGGAGGAGUGUUGCGGUCCUAAUUAGGUUAGGAAUGUGAUUGUGUAAAUCAAAGGGGAUUCUAUAGUAUCUUUUAGUUAGUAUUUAAGUUGUAAUACCUAAAGGGUAAGGGAUUUAUCUUCCCUACUACUAUAAAUAAAGGCACAAUGAGGUGAGAAAUCACACCUCAUAAUUCACACAAUUCUCUCCAUGCUUUGCCGCACCCUCUCUCUUAGUCUCUCUAUACUUCUUUAAUCAAAUAGGCCUACAACGUAUUCUUCAUUGUGCGUGAAUUUCUCUCUCUCUCUCUCUCUCUAUAUAUAUAUAUAUAUAUAUAUGCAUAUGCAUAUUACAUACCUAUGUAUGUACUAUAGGUAUGAGCUGAGACAUUUUGUACCAAAACCUAUGUACUGAUACAUUCACACUGAAAUUUAUGUACCUAUACAUCGUACCGAAACUUAUGUACUGAUGCAAUCGUAUCAAAACUUAUGUACCAAUACUUCCAUACCUACAAGUUUUUAUUUUUAAAUACAUUGUUUUUGUAUUGCUGUUGAAUUUUUUUUAUUAAGAAAUUGAAUUUGAAUAAUGCUUUAUCUAUUAAUAUGAUUGAAGCCCAAAAAAUACACAUUAAUGAUGGAUGGGUAAAGAAUUUUGGAUGGUAAGUUUAUAAAUAAUAAAUAUGCCACAAAUAAUUAAAUAUGGUAAGUUUUUUUUUUUUUUUUUUUUGUCAAAAAAUAGAUUUUGUUAGAUUAGAUGUUAGAUUAGUCACCGACGAGAUUUGAACUCAUGUCAUCAUGCAAGGGCUCAACUUCUUUCCAUCACUGUGGUAAAUGGCCACUUGCAAAUAUGAUAAGUUUUAAUAAUAUGGAAUUAAAUUAGAUUUAUAAAACCUUCUAGGUUAAAAUCUAAAAAGAAUCUUAUUUAAGUCCUAAAGCCUAAAAACCCUUAAAAUAUAUGAUUCUUUCUACUAGUCUUCCAAUCCUUUGAAGGGGUAGCUUAGUUGUAAUGUACAAGCCUUUCUGUACGCGCUCAUGCGCGUGCGAAAGGUUUUUUUUACAUCACGGCGAGCUACGCGUGGCAUGUGGAGUUAUUUUUUCAUUUUACAUUUGUUCACACAUAAAGACAUUCUUAUAGUUACCAUGCACUAAGCGCAAUGUGCAAUGUUUAAUUUUAAUAUUUGUACUUGUCAAGAGACAUUCUUUCAUUUUAAUUUUUUUAGCUAAAAGUUUGUAUGGACUUUUGCACCGUUAGAUUUAAAUUAAGAACCUGCAAGCCUCUCACCUUGAAACGAGAAAAGCACAUAAAUGAAAUGAAGCUAAACAUGAUGAUCCUGAUCAAUCUCUCAUAUUACAAAUGCCACAAAAAAUGAAACUUUAUGUGAUUGCAAAAAAAUUUCAAACAUUCAAUUACCCGAAAAACAGAUUAUACAAAUUAAAAAAUUUCAAACAUUCAAUUACCCAGAAAACAACAAUGAAAAUCUUAUUAAAUUAAUUAAAAUAAACUCAUUAGCCAAGUUAAAAAAUUUCAAACAUUCAAUUACCCAGAAAACAACAAUGAAAAUUUUAUUAAAUUAAUUAAAAUAAACUCUUUAGCAAAAGGAACAUAAAAAUGCAAAAUUCUACUAAAUUAAUUAAAAUAAACUAAUUAAUGUGCAGGAGGAACAUAAACAACCUUUUGAAUUAAUCUAAAGAGAUACAAACUAAAAAUAUUAAGAUUGACAGGAGGAAAUGAUUGAAAUUGAUAAUUGAGAAUAAAAGAUUAAGAUUGAGAGUUGAGAAGUUGUACCGAGGAAGACUCUUUGUUGAUUUGGCUCUCUGUUUCAUCCUCUGCCUCGCCCUCAUUCUCUUCUCCUUGAUUUCUGCAAUGAACGGAGAAACAAUUUGCUAUAAAAUAUAUUUGUGUAAUCAAAUAAUAUGUAGCCAACCUGGUUGAGAAGACAUUUGGAAUUUCGUAAGAUGGAGACUCUGUGCAUGUUCUUCCUUUCUGAUUCUUGAAUUUAAAUGAGAUUUGUAUAAGUAUAUAUUGGCAAUUCAUCUUGAUAGAAACUACAUUUUGAUGAAUGUGGGUGCAAUUUUUCAAUUUUCACAUUCUAUUUUUUAUUUGAGGGUUUUAGCAUGUCUCUUUUUUAUUUGUUUUUCUUUUCAUUUUUUUUUCCAAUAAAACGAUUUUUUACAAAAUCAUCAUGUGUUUUGUUUUGAGCCAGAAUGGUUAUUCAAUAUUUUGGCGGCUGAUGUAAACGUUUCCGUUCGUAUUUAAUGAAAUUUCUAUUGUUGAAAAAAAAUAUAUAUGUUCAGUAUUUAAUGACUAUGGUUUAAAAAUGGUUCUAUGCAACUUACAGCCUUCUUGGAUGCUGAUUGGGCUAGAUGUGUUAUUGAUAGAAGAUCUACCUCUGGUUAUUGUGUUUACUUGCAACCCAAUCUUAUAAGUUGGAAUGCUAAAAAAUAGCCCACUGUUGCAAGGUCUUCA
rnacentral:lncRNA from 1 species